UACGAAGGGGACUAGCGUUGUUCGGAAUCACUGGGCGUAAAGGGCGCGUAGGUGGCGUCGUAAGUCUGUGGUGAAAGCCCGGAGCUCAACUCCGGGUCUGCCGCGGAUACUGCGAGGCUUGAGUGCUGUAGAGGGGGGUAGAAUGCCGGGUGUAGCGGUGGAAUGCGUAGAGAUCCGGCAGAAGACCGGUGGCGAAGGCGGCCCCCUGGGCAGUAACUGACACUGAGGGCGCGACAGCGUGGGGGAGCAAACAGG
rnacentral:rRNA from 1 species